rnacentral:rRNA from 1 species
AGCGAACGCUGGCGGCAGGCCUAACACAUGCAAGUCGAACGAACUCUUCGGAGUUAGUGGCGGACGGGUGAGUAACACGUGGGAACGUGCCUUUUGGUUCGGAAUAACUCAGGGAAACUUGUGCUAAUACCGAAUGUGCCCUUCGGGGGAAAGAUUUAUCGCAAUUAGAGCGGCCCGCGUCUGAUUAGCUAGUUGGUGAGGUAACGGCUCACCAAGGCGACGAUCAGUAGCUGGUCUGAGAGGAUGACCAGCCACACUGGGACUGAGACACGGCCCAGACUCCUACGGGAGGCAGCAGUGGGGACUAUUGCGCAAUGGGCGAAAGCCUGACGCAGCCAUGCCGCGUGAAUGAUGAAGGUACUAGGAUUGUAAAAUUCUUUAACCGGGGACGAUAAUGACGGUACCCGGAGAAGAAGCCCCGGCUAACUUCGUG